UUUUCUGUGUACGUCCUUCUUCAUUGCUUUUGCAUGAUAAUGAGGUGCAUUUGUGUAGAUUUAUAUGUUUGUAUGUAUGCGUGUCCUGACGCAGGCUUCC